UUUAUGGAGAGUUUGAUCCUGGCUCAGGAUGAACGCUGGCGGCGUGCCUAAUACAUGCAAGUCGAGCGAACAGACGAGGAGCUUGCUCCUCUGACGUUAGCGGCGGACGGGUGAGUAACACGUGGAUAACCUACCUAUAAGACUGGGAUAACUUCGGGAAACCGGAGCUAAUACCAGAUAACAUGUUGAACCGCAUGGUUCAACAGUGAAAGACGGUCUUGCUGUCACUUAUAGAUGGAUCCGCGCCGCAUUAGCUAGUUGGUAAGGUAACGGCUUACCAAGGCAACGAUGCGUAGCCGACCUGAGAGGGUGAUCGGCCACACUGGAACUGAGACACGGUCCAGACUCCUACGGGAGGCAGCAGUAGGGAAUCUUCCGCAAUGGGCGAAAGCCUGACGGAGCAACGCCGCGUGAGUGAUGAAGGUCUUCGGAUCGUAAAACUCUGUUAUUAGGGAAGAACAAAUGUGUAAGUAACUAUGCACGUCUUGACGGCACCUAAUCAGAAAGCCACGGCUAACUACGUGCCAGCAGCCGCGGUAAUACGUAGGUGGCAAGCGUUAUCCGGAAUUAUUGGGCGUAAAGCGCGCGUAGGCGGUUUUUUAAGUCUGAUGUGAAAGCCC
rnacentral:rRNA from 1 species